rfam:Cavia porcellus supercont2_86 genomic scaffold, whole genome shotgun sequence.
UAGAGUGUAGUGUAAUGGUAGCACGGAGAAAUUUGAGUUCUUUGGAGUAGGUUCAAGUCCUAAGAUUCUAG